UCAAAUACGUGUAUCUUAAAUUGCUUCCGCGGAUAAUUUCCAUGAUAGUACCCCCGUGAGCCCAGAAGUUGUUAACACUUAAGAAAGGAAUACAGAUAUUUUUAUAAUGGUAAACAUAAUCGUUUGAAUUUGAAAUUGUAUGAUUUAAAAUAUUAUCACCUCCUUAUACAGACUUUUAUUUUGUGUAUUAUGUACGGUUGUUCUUGCAAGUGUUACCACAGUGACUUGAAGGGAAUGCCAAUUUCAUCGAAAUGUGACAGCUAAGAACAACAUGCCUACAAAGGCACCCAAACGAAAAGUUGCAACAAAAACAUGCAGCCAACAUGCAGAUAAAACUUCAAUCUUUCAAUUUUAGUAUCGUAUCGAUACAGUAAGUUGAGAAAAAACUAAGCUACUUUAGCUUCAAACCGAAGAGUAGCCUCCCUUAGUAUCAAAAUUGCCAUUUAACAAGGAAACUUAUUGUCAAAAACAUAGAAAUAAAUUGUUUCUUGCUUGAGAUGGCAGAUUCGGAUUCGUCUGAAGAAGAGACAAGCAAAAAAUGUGGAGUUUGUGGAUUAAAGUGCAAAACAAAACGCUUGUGAAACAUGUAGGAAAACUUUUCAUGACAUUGAAGUACUAUUUGAAUAGACAUGUAAAGAACCAUAGAACAGAAAAUGUAUGUCAUUUUUGUGGAAAUAUAUUUUUCAGUUUGCGGAAUCUUAAACAACAUGAAGAAGACAAGCAUGCAGAAAAACCCAAAUUUAAAUGCAAGGUUUGUGAGAAACAUUGCUCAAGCAAAACAGUUCUUCAGUCGCAUGAGGCUGUCCAUCGUAAGCAAGAGAAGCCUUUUAAAUGUGAAACCUGCAGCAGAGCAUAUCGGUACAAUUGCAGCCUUAAAAGUCAUAGUAAACUGUGUCACCAAAAUGAUGAACAAUAUGUUAAGAACUUUAAAUGUUUUACUUGUAGCAAAGUGUUUAAGACAAUUAGGUUGCUUAUUAAAGCAACACAAAAAUGUUCAUUCCGCACCAAGAUUUGCAUGCCAUGUGUGUGGAAGACCUUUCAAAUGGAGACAAUGCUUUAAAGAUCACCUUAAAUCUUGUGAUAAGUAAAUUCUGCAAAGCCAUUUUCAAGCUAGGACAGAAUUUCACAAUAUUUUGGGUAAAUAUUCAUUAGAACAUCACUAAUCACUUAGAUUGAAAAUGCAUAUGUUAUUUGCUCAGGGUACUUGGUCCAAAAUAUUCUGUUGAGAUCAGCUAGGUUGUUUCUGUUUUGUUUUACAAGUCAAAUGUCAUGAUAAACUAAAGAUCUUGGUUAUGUCUGAUUGUUGUAGAAAAAGUAUUUCGUCAAAUGUUUCUUCAAUCUUUGUAGGUAUUCAUUAGUAAAUGCUUUUGUUCAGAAAAUUUAAGUUAGAUAUUCAAAGGUGGGGGUCUGAAAUCUUAAUUAAAAGCAUGUGUUUUGAACACCCUAACAAUAGUGUUUUUUAUAAGUAAUGCUGUGUUGUUUAUCAAUGAUUGAAAAAGCGAAGUAUUUUACCAGGAAUUUUAGAGCUAAAAAAAUUUUUGGGUGAAUAUUACUGAAAAAAUCAGUUAGUAAAUAAUAUUAACAUUAUUUUGUUGUUUAAGGCACAUUCUAAAUAUGUUGUUUUGGUACUAUGCAUGACAAGUUGUUCAGUUUUGAUUGGUAUUACUAUUUGGCUUGCUUUAACCACUUGUUGCAUUUAAUAAACUAAGGGCAUUGGUGUCUGGUCAUAUUGACAUGUAAUUAUUAGUUUUUCCACGGACCUAUAAACCAUGGAUUGGCAACUGCCCCAUAUCUGUGAAACGAUAAGAAAUAAUAAUUUACCCAUAAUCCUUAGCGCGCACUCGGCAAAUAUCGGAAAAUUCCGCCGAAUCUCCCAUCGGUGAUUAACGGCGAUCUUCAGUUAUUUCCGCCAACCCUGCUAAUAAUGCCUUGUUCGUUAUAGAUUUAAUUAUAAUUAAUAAAUGUGAUUUUAAUCAGAUUCAAUUGGACUAUUAUCAACUCAAAUGAAAGUACCGCGCAUUUGAGUCAAUUUUACCUAAUGUUUUCCUACAUGUAUAUAUUCUGCCGAUGUCAGACGUCUCGAAAAUGUCCACACGGUAAGAUCUUGGAAUGAAAUCCCGCUGCACGCGUGAGUUUGAGAUUAUUGCAUUAACACAGAUGAGAGUUGCCAAUCCAUGGUUUUGCACAAUGUUUUGUUUGUAGUUUUUGUUCAAGUAUUUUAUAUUUGUAUUGAAAGUAGGAGCAAUGCCCCCACCCCACACUCCACACACACUUUAAAUUAUUAUUUUCAUUAUACAAUAAUUCUAGAUUGUGUAACUAAGAGUCCAUUGUGCAAUGCAAUGUGUCUUUGUUAUGCAUAGCCUUUCAAAUUUGAAUUUUCAAGUUACCAAAUAAAUGAUAUAUUACUUUGAAACUUAUUCUGUAUAUCUGUAACAUAAUAUCUGGAUGUUACUUUGACAAUUUUCAAGAUUCGUGUCAAUUAAAGGAUCUCCUGAAUUAUCAAAGAUGAGAUUUUGUUGUUUGCUAUUAAAAAAUGUAGAUUUUUUAUGAAAAUUAGUUGGAAUGUAUUUCUUUAUGCAAACAAAGUACAUUUAAUUUUUUACAUUUUGACUAUUUUCUUAACAAUGUCUUGAUAUGGGACAAGUGGUUGUUGUUUUAUUCUUAAAGUGCGUAGUUUUUAGGUAUAAAUUUCGAAUAUUAUAGUGACAUGUAAUUCAGGUCAAAUCUUAUAAUUGUGAUUUGUUUUUUGUUUAAAGCAGUGAUGUGUAAAAUAAUAUUGUUUAUGACGAAGUUCCAGUGCUUACUCUGAUAAUGAUUUUUAGCUCGACUAUUUGAAGAAUAAGGAGGGCUAUACUACGCGCCCCAGUGUUGGUGUCGGCGUACUUUUAAAAUCUUAUGGCAAAUUGGGAGUUUCACUUAUAAGUCCAAUACCCUUCAUUCAAUUCCCUUAAUACUUCAUACAGUUGUUCAGGACCAUCACAUAAUGAGGUUAGAUAACUCUAUAUUAGCAUUUAUACAAAUUAUAGCCCCUGAUUGACAUUGGAACUUGGGUUCAAGUUUUAGGGCAGGUUGGGAUAUUUAUUAAAAACUUCUUUCUACAUUCAAUUGACUUGUUACUUCACACAGGUGUUGAGAACCAUCACACAAUGAGGUUUUAUAACUCCAUAUUUUGCUUGAUACAAGUUAUGGCCCCUGACUUACUUUGGAGCUUAGGUUUAAGUUUUAGUGCCUUCAUUCAAUUGAUUUAAUUACUUAUUAUUCAGGGCCAUUACAUAAUGAGGUUAGAUAACUCCAGUACCCUUUAUACAAACUAUGUUCCCUGAUUGACUUUGGAACUUACCUUAAAGUUUAAUGGCAAGUUUGGAUUUUAAUAAAAAAAUAUAUAUACUUGACCAGAUUUUCACAAAACAAGAUAUAAGAAUGUCUUGUGUCAUGGUGGGAUGGCAGUGUCAACAUUACUUUAUGUAUCGAAUAAUUUUAGCUAGGUCUGACAUCUAGUGACCAAACUUGGCAAAUAGAAAGAGGUUAUGGAGACCUUUCAUGGGAUUGCCUUUUUAGGCCCAUAUCAUCAAGGUCAAGGUCAAAGCUUCUUUUAAUAGAUAAAUGGUUGGUAUUGAAUUACUUAAUUAAGAGUUGACAUAUUGCGAGCAAACUUGGUAUAUAUGAAGAGUUUAUAGAGACAUUUCAUGAGAUUGUGAUUUUUGGUCACUGUUAACUUUAUUAAUUUGAUUUUAAUUGUUUUUGACGGGCUUAUAUAUCAUUAUGGUAUUCAUUUCUAAGUCAAAGUGGCGUUGUCGAGCGCACUGUCUAACGACUGCUCUUGUAUAUUUUAUUAUACAACAUUUAGUUUUACUUUUAUAGAUACAUCUUUUAUUGCACCAUAGUUGUUGUUAAGAUUGCAUGUUUGCUGAAUUACCUCAGGUAAUAGAUUCUCAGGUUGUUUGUCUUUAAUGUUAAAUACAUUUGUAUUUUAUAUUUGAGUUUUCAUUAUUUGUCUUCAUUUUAUGACCGAUCUCAAUAAAGCAAUUGAGAACUUUUUGGACACAGUUUUUUUCUGGUUCAUAGGUGGCGCUGUGUCGUGAAGCAAGUUGAUUAUGGGUCUAACAUAAACAUACAUGUGUACUAGACCUCAAAUGCAAAUCGAGAGUACUGCAAGUACCGGUUGCAAUAAAUAAUUUUGAGAAAUUUGGACAUCGGUUAUUGAUUACUUAAUAACUAGUUUCAGCGACUGUUCGGAUUCCAUAGCUUAUCACUCCAUUUUAAAGCAUUACAGCAACAUACUGACGAUUGAUAUCACCGAUGCCUUUUUAAAGAUGCACUGCUUCUCCAGAAAAAGAUUUGCCACAAUUAAUAUAAUUGAUUGGUUAUACAAAAGAGAAUGCAUAAAUGUCGAAAUUAAUGGUUCUAAUGAAGGGAACCGAGUUUAAUUUGAAUAAAACGAGUAGAAAACAAGUUAUUUCUACAUUAUUAGACAAGGGAAAAUCAUACUUAAUCUUUUAGCACGACCAAUGAUUGAUUAUUUUGGCGUUUUUUAGUCAUUCAAAACAUGGCUAUUUGUUUUUGAUGAGUAAUUUACAUGUAUAGUUUUAAGAAAUGAAUUAUUUAGUAAGUUGUUGAAGGGUAUCUCUGUAAGGUGUUUCAGCAUGUUUAGUAUUGAUUUUGAGUGUCAUGUUUUCAAAUGAGUAUAACUUCAACAGUCAUAAUAAUAUGCAGAUGAAAUUUCCUAAUACAAUGUACCCUAUUUUACAAUUUCUUUAGCUCAGGUAGAAUCAGCAGUAAGUUUCAAAUACUUGAUAACAACAAGUGAAUGAAGACAAGAAUUAAAACUGACACAUUAUUAAAUAUCAUUAAAUAAAAUACAGUGUAGAAAAAUACAAAAUCUUAUUUAUUGUACAUUUAGUACAAUAACAAUAUGUAAAUAGUUAUAAUUGGUAUAUGCCACUACAAUGAUAGAAACUUCUACAUAUACAUAUUUAUUCCUUAAAUUAAAGGAGUUCGCAGUGCUACCUGACUUAAGUUCAGCAGAAGAACACACAAACAGACACAUUAUCGACUGCGUCUUGUAUUUCAUCCUUGCUGAUACCAAACCGUAUCGAAGGAAGGAUCUUGCUUUUGUCUACCUUGUAAUGUGUUCUCACCGACUGUACUCCUUUUGGUGCGUCCUUAAAGUUGCUGAUUUUGCCGUACUUUGCUUAACGUUGUUCCCUGCGGUCAAACUGGUGAUCCCUGAACGAUAGUUUAAAUCGUAUUAUUUUUCACAUAUAUAGUUUUAAAAACUGAUAUGACAGCUAAAGGAUAAACAAAAAAUGUAAGAGUAGAAACUUAAUUUAACAGGGGCUGUGUUUCUGCGUCAUUUUACAAUUAUAUUUUUAAUUAAAUAUUUUAGGCACAUGAUUCUCCAAUUAAACGAUCAUUUGAGCACGAUUUUUUAAAUUCUUUGUUGAGAACUUUAUUAUCUCAAGAUUGACGUUUGAGAAGAUCUUUCAAAGUAACCAUGAUCAAAUACUUUGAAAAUAAAAUUGCAUCAGUAAUACCCUGCGUACACCGUAUUCUACAUACCGUAUGACGAUAUACGAAAAAAUUUACAACGAGGAUCCACUGGAAGAUUCGAGUUGUCUUUGACUGUCGUCAUAGCGUCAGGAACCUCAUAGCACCUUGACUAUAAUCGUAAACACAAAGAGUUUGUAGAUUCCUCAGAAAUUGAAGUUAUUCUUUUGAGGAUGAGUCCAGAAUGUGGUGUUUUGCCUGAAAUAAAGCACGCAACGUGCCUAGAUGCUGAACGUCAAUCGUACCUUCAAUAUUCUUUUGGUCCAUUCUUUAGAUCUGAGUCAUCAAGAUCUGCAGUAUGCCCUAAACCAACUCUGUGUAAAGUCGAAGUUUACUCAUUUGUUGGUGAAAUGUCGAUUGUAGAUCAAAUGUUUGUGGCAAAUAUGAAAGAAAUGAGUAAAAAAUGGCUUAUCACAUGUAACCAUAGCAACAGGCUGUUGUUUUAUGUAGUUCUUUUAUGUCAUUUUGUACAUAUAAUGAGCAAUGUGUACUCUUUGUGUCUAUGAAUUAGUUUAUGUGUUAGCUAUAACAGACAGUUAAGUUAGUAUUUCGGCAUGGACACUGCAUUUAAAAUAAGAACAUUUUUAGUGGACAUUGUUUUCAAACUGGCUUACCAAUGUGUAACAGAAUGAUCCAUAUCUUUUGAUUUCUUUGUACAAAAAUGACUAGAAACUUUAGUUUUUAUACCUAAGAUACUUGGUAUCAUUUACAUGCCAAUAACUUAAAACGCAUUGUAUAUUGAGAACACAUUAUUUGUGGCAGACUUUGAAAAUGAUUGGAAAUAGCAUUUUCAUUAGUAACCAUAGCAACCGAUUUUUGCUUUGACCUUUGUGGCCAAUUUCUAUGUCAUUAUAGACAUUAGCAAUGUGUACUUGCUAUUUUAAUGUUGAAGUUUAUGUAACACUAGUAAAGAUAAGUGAUAUAUUUAAACAGGUAUCUUGACAUAUAUAUAAUAUUUAAAAUAAGAACAGUUUUGUUCACAUUGUUUUUUAUCCCUGUGUUUCAUAAUGUUUCAUAUGUUUUAUAACUUUUGUGAAAUUUAACGUGAAACUUUAGAGUUAAUUUCUGUAAAUACUUAGUAUCAUAAAGAUGUCAAUAACUUAUAAAUAAAAAAAAAUUAUGCGGACUUUCAAAAAUGAUUGGUAAUAGCAUUUUCAUAAGUAACCAUAGCAACUGAAUUUUGCUUUGACCUUUGUUGUAAGUUUCUUUAUCAUUAUGGACAUUAGCAAUGUAUACUUGUUAUUUUCCUUUUGUAGUGAAUGUGAUACUAGUAAAGAUAGUUUUAUAUAUUAAUAUUUUGACUUGUGUACUUCAUUCAAAAUAAGAACAGAUUUAGCGAACAUUUCGUUCAAAUUGUGUUAAAGCUCUCUGUUACGAAAUGUUCCAUAUCCAUUGUUGUUUUUUUAAUAUUUGACUGACUAGUUCAGAUUUUAUUUCUGCAAUUGCUUGGUAUCAUAAAAAUGUCAAUAACUUAAAACACAACUUUAUGAAAAACAUUAUUUUUUGAGAAACAUUUAGAAAAUGAGUGAAAAUGGCAUUAUCAAUAGUUACCAUAGCAACCAAAUGCACUUAUGAACUUUUCGUUAACUUUUGUAAUCAAACUAUGAGUGCUUAUUGUUUCUAUGCUAAAACUUAUAUGUUACAUGUAAAUAGUCCUUGACAUGAUACUUAUCUGACAUGGAUAUUUCAUUCUAAAUAAACACAUUAGACCAUA